UAAGUAGAUAGUGAAAUCUGGUGGCUCAACCAUUCAGACUGUUAUCUAAACUGGACAUCUCGAGAGCGUCAGGGGUAACUGGAAUUUCUAGUGUAGGAGUGAAAUCCGUAGAUAUAAGGAGGAAUACCGAUGGCGUAGGCAGGCUACUGGCUCGUCCCUGACACUAAGGCACGAAAGCGUGGGGAGCGACCGGGAUUAGAUACCCCGUUAGUCCACGCCGUAAACGAUGGAUGCUA
rnacentral:rRNA from 1 species